GUUAACUUUGUAGUUUUACUGCUUUAUAGGCUGUGCUUUUGCUGGAGGUUUAGGGGUGCUCUUGAUCGAGUGUCUCUGGAUGCCAGCAGGUUUACUUUGAAAAAAUUAGAGUGCUCAAAGCAGGCUAAAAUGCCUGAAUAUUCGUGCAUGGAAUAAUAGAAUAGGAUGUCGAUCCUAUUUUGUUGGUUUUCGGGACUCGACAUAAUGAUAAAUAGGGACAGUCGGGGGCAUUUGUAUUCAAACGACAGAGGUGAAAUUCUUGGACCGUUUGAAGACAAACUACUGCGAAAGCAUUUGCCAAGAAUGUUUUCAUUAAUCAAGAACGAAAGUUAGAGGUUCGAAGGCGAUUAGAUACCGCCCUAGUUCUAACCAUAAACGAUGCCAGCUAGCGAUCUGCCUGCGUUUUUACUGUAGACUGGGCAGGAAGCUUCCGGGAAACCAAAGCAUUUGGGUUCCAGGGGAAGUAUGGUUGCAAAGCUGAAACUUAAAGGAAUUGACGGAAGGGCACCACCA
rnacentral:rRNA from 1 species